rnacentral:sRNA from 1 species
GCAGCAUGUGUUAACCACAACAGAUGGCUGUAGCCACCAGGCUUGUCCUUGGUGCAGUCAGCCUGGGGGCUGCGGGGGCUUGUGGAAGCAUGUGGGAAGACGGUCCCACUGGUCAGCAGAGCAGGGUCCUCACCGACCCACAGAGGAGCAUGUCACAGGACAGGCAGGCGUGUCAGGGAAGGCCAGGCUAGUGCCAGCCAAGGGCAUUGCCUCCCAGACUGCCCUUUUCCUCACACUCCCACGACACAGCCCUCAAAGCCUGUGUCCCUGUGGGUCCCUGGCCAAGGAGCAAGGGCUGCCCUGCCUGGGCCCCCCCUGCCAGCCCCUUGGUCACCUCAUGCUGUGUGCCAGGCUGGGGGAGUGUGCCAGUGUGUAUGUCCAGGUGGCAUUUGGAUGAAGACACAGGUGUGUGGUGAGGCUGUGCGGGAGGAUGGGCGUAUGCGUGCGGUGGGCAGGUGGUGUGGAGGCAGGCGGGCGGGCGUGUGGCAGCGCGCCGGCUGAGCCCCUCCACUUCCAGGUCAGCCAGAGCAGCCUCCCCAUGCUGUCCUCGCCGUCACCGGGCCAGCAGGUGCAGACCCCGCAGUCGAUGCCCCCUCCCCCCCAGCCGUCCCCGCAGCCCGGCCAGCCCAGCUCACAGCCCAACUCCAACGUCAGGUAGGCCUGGCCUGGGGUGCCCCUCCCCACCUGGCCCUCGAGGCUGGCCCUGCCUGGACCCCGGCUCACAUGUUUCUCUCGCUUGGCUGCAGCUCUGGCCCUGCCCCGUCUCCCAGUAGCUUCCUGCCCAGCCCCUCACCGCAGCCCUCCCAGAGCCCAGUGACGGCGCGGACCCCACAGAACUUCAGUGUCCCCUCACCUGGACCUUUAAACACACCUGGUAAGUUGGGCCUGGGGUCCACGGCCCCGUCGUGUGACCUGUACUCGGCCUGGUGGGUUGAGGUGCUAAGGUCACCCCUCACCUUUAUGAGGCCUCAGCUCAUACUGGGUGUGCGAGCUCUGGGGCCCUCAGAGCUCAAGUUCCCCACCCGAGGGUCGAGGGCUGUGGCCUCACCCGCCUGUGUCCUGCAGUGAACCCCAGCUCUGUCAUGAGCCCAGCUGGCUCCAGCCAGGCUGAGGAGCAGCAGUACCUGGACAAGCUGAAGCAGCUGUCGAAGUACAUCGAGCCCCUGCGCCGCAUGAUCAACAAGAUCGACAAGAACGAAGACAGAAAAAAGGACCUGAGUAAGAUGAAGAGCCUUCUGGACAUUCUGACAGACCCCUCGAAGCGGUGAGCUUUGCCCACAGCCCACGGAGGGUCCACAAGGGCACAGAUAGCCCAGCCAUGGAUGGGCACUUGGUGAUGAUGUGGGUUUAACAAAGGCACCAGGCAGCUCUUUGGACCCUGGCCAGAGGCCUCCAAGGCUCCACUCUGGUGUGUGCUGGGGCUUCAAGCCCAGGCUUCAUCUUGGCCCAUGCCCAGCCUUUGCCCUAUUCCUGGCUGCUGCUGUGGCCCUCAUGCUGGGCCAUCACAGCCAGACCUCAUCCAGCCAGCAGCCAGGGGCCCAGCUUGCAGUGGCCUGACCAUCAGCUGGCCCAGAUGGGCCUGAGCCUGACCUGGAGUUCUGCCCCUGACUUGCUGGUGACCAUGGGCAGGCGACUGCAUCUCAGUUACCCCAUUUGUAGCCCACGUGUGUUGUCAUGAAAAUGAAACAAGGUGGCGCUGGUGAGAAGCAGGUGGAAGGCAGGGCUGCUGGCCACAGGCUGCUGUGAGGAUCAGAGCUCGGGCAGUACCUCCAAACUGCAUGGGCAUUGGCAUAUACCUCCCUUUCACCUCAACUCAGGCUAUCCCCCAACCCCUGUCUAGAAGGGUCUCUCUGUUCUGCUUGUCUGGAUAGAAUGCCAGUCACUAUUGGGUGGUCCUCCAGGUCUUCAUGGGUUGAUCCUUUGUUAGGGUUAUAGGGAUGAGCGGGGCAGGGACUGGCCUACAUGACAAUGAGGCAUUCACAGCCUGAUCAGGGGCCUGGCCACUGUCCCUUCUCUUGACCCAUCACCUCACUCUGCCAACCAGGGACAAGCAGCUCCCGGGGUUGAGGGCUGCCUGCCUUCAACUCUGGGUCUGGGAACAGCUGGUCAACUGGUAGGAGCUCCUGCAGAGGUUUCUGAUGGCCGAGGCCCAGUGGCAGUAGUUGGGAUCCUGAGCCUGAGAACUGCCAUGUCUUCCACUCUUUCAGACCAAGUCCUCUCUCUCUGCAGGUGUCCCCUGAAGACCUUGCAAAAGUGUGAGAUCGCCCUGGAGAAACUCAAGAAUGACAUGGCGGUGGUGAGUGGGAUGCCAGACACCCCUAGGGGAACCAGGGCUCUCCUGGGAGCGCCGCUGAGAGGGCCUUCAAGGUCAGGGCAUCUGGGCGGGGGCCGGGCCUGACCUUGGACCCUGCCCACGAGGCUUCCUGGCCAGGUCUGCUGUGCUGGGUGGGAACAUGGGAGAAGUCACCCUCUGUCUACGGCCCCCGUGGGUGCCUCCUUCACCCAUUUCAGAGGAGGCAGGGACUGUAGGGAGGAUAGGCUGUGGGGGUGGGGGAUUAUUCCCAGGAUCAGCCAACAUUGUCUGCACCAGGGUGGAGGCUGUGAGAGAGGCCUCGGGAAUAUGACUGUGAGUGACCACGGGCCUGGGGUGUGAAGGCCCCCUAAAUGGGGAACCCUCGGGUCCCGGGCUGCUGACCGUGCCCAUCCUGUCUCCAGCCCACUCCCCCACCGCCCCCGGUGCCACCGACCAAACAGCAGUACCUAUGCCAGCCGCUCCUGGAUGCCGUCCUGGCCAACAUCCGCUCACCUGUCUUCAACCAUUCCCUGUACCGCACAUUCGUUCCAGCCAUGACCGCCAUUCACGGCCCACCCAUCACGUAUGUCCAGCUGGGCUGGGCUUUGCGGAGGGCGGCCAGCCCUGGGCCGCGUGUGCCAGGUGUGGUCACCAUGCCGCCUCCCCAGGGCCCCAGUGGUGUGCACCCGGAAGCGCAGGCUUGAGGAUGAUGAGCGGCAGAGCAUCCCCAGUGUGCUCCAGGGUGAGGUGGCCAGGCUGGACCCCAAGUUCCUGGUAAACCUGGACCCUUCUCACUGCAGCAACAAUGGCACUGUCCACCUGAUCUGCAAGCUGGGUGAGUGUCCAGAGGGCCAGGACUGGUGUGGGAAAGCAGGCCCUGACCGCAGCCCCAGGACUCUGCCAUCCAAGCCAGAUGGCACAGCGCCCAGAACCCACCCUGUGUUCACGCCCCGCCAGGCUGUCUGCUCUAUCCUCACACACACCGGGCUCCAGACAGCCUGGCCAUGCCUCAGUCCCCACUGCCAGAGCCCGCACACUCUCACCUCCCCAACACAGAUGUGGCUUUGCUUGCCUGGGCCCUAAGGAGGUGGUAGGCAGGACCUCUGGGCACCCAUCAAUGCAGAGCACUCCAGGCUUCACGUUUGGAAAUCUGAGAGUCAGAGAGACCUCCUCCAGGCUUUGCCACAAGCUUCACCAGAACCUCCCAGGGUGUGGAGUCCUGUUCCAGAGCAGGGCUGUGAGGCAGGGCAGGCCGGGGCUUGUCCAGGUCACAGAUAGAGCCUUCUGUGUUGCAGAUGACAAGGACCUCCCAAGUGUGCCACCACUGGAGCUCAGUGUCCCCGCUGACUAUCCUGCCCAAAGCCCGCUGUGGAUAGACCGGCAGUGGCAGUACGACGCCAACCCCUUUCUCCAGUCGGUGCACCGCUGCAUGACCUCCAGGCUGCUGCAGCUCCCGGACAAGCACUCGGUCACCGCCUUGCUCAACACCUGGGCCCAGAGCGUCCACCAGGCCUGCCUCUCAGCCGCCUAGCCAAGACUGCAGGGAUGGCCCGCAGCCUCAUCGGGGCCAAGGACACACGCCUCCUGUCAGACACUUCUAGGUGUUGGCUUCCUUAGAGAGCCUGGGGUUAGGUUAGCUUUCCUGCUUUUAUCUUCUGCCUUGGGGACCUGCCAAACGAAAUCCCACAGCUGUACAGAACUGGGAUAGGCGCAGUGGAGCGGGUUGUUGGGGGCCAUUGGCCGACUUCUUAGAGAAGGCCCUCCAUGUGACUUCCUCCCAGGAGCCAGAUGCCAUCCUCGGGCUGCUCUCACCGUGGCCUGUCCACAGUCCAGGUCCAUCUCAGCAGCGUGAGGGUGCACUCAGGGUGUUGUUAGAGCGUCUCGUGUGUGCUAGACACACCCCUACUCGUUCCUAUAGGAGAACACAGAGGACAUAGGAAACCCUUAAAACACACAUGGGAUUCUCUGGUCACAGUUUUGGGUUCAGGCUACGCUGCUUUGGGUAGGUGGAGCACCCCCCGAGGAAGCCCGCAAGUCCAGGGCACAGGCUGCCUUUUGGAGGGAGGGCUGGCCCAUAGGUGCUGCUGACUCCCCGCCACCAGCUGGGCCUCAGCCCUCACGGCAUUCCUGCUGAGCACCGUGGGGCACCCAGGGAGCAGGGGCGUCGGGGAUCCUGCUGCCGGCACCCCUGUGCCGCUGGCAUGAGGGCCGUGUCCCCACUGUGAAGGAUGAAGAGCAAGGCCCUCAGGACCCGUGUCCUCAGAGCACCACACACUGAGCCACCCAGAGACAGCGGGCCUGGCAGCGGGCCGGGCCAUGCAGGGAGCGCCUCCCUAUGUUGCCUGCCACUCUGGGCACCGGCCAGCACCCUCUGGUGAGAAGAGGUCCCCCCUUUUUAUGUGCACUACCCCACCAUCUGUGAUUAUAAUAAAUUUAUUAUUCCUGUG